rnacentral:lncRNA from 1 species
GAGAGCAAUCUGAUCACGAGAGCGCACAGGACACAUGCCAGCCAUUUCUCCACAGCAAGACUAAGAAUCAUUCAUCAAUCAGCCUGUCAAUCUUGCAGUCGACAAUGACGGUGAUGAGAUGACGGUGAUGGUGCGCCAUGAACACCUGUAGCUGCGACAAAUGGUCGUCUUCCACACGGUUUGGCUUUGUAGAGCCCUUAAACUUUGAUGAUGGAGCAUCAUUGUCAUGCAUCACAAUUCACACAUGCUACUAUCUGUGCUCCCUGUCUGUUUCAGGGCUUGAUAGUUCUGCUCCUUGCUCGCAACUAACUGCAUGUAACAAAGACAAUGCUUAGAACUUGAAAGCGGCCGGCUGUUUUGUUUUUGCUCAGGCUGAUGUGGCGCCUGGGUGGGCCUCGUUGGGCCGGUCUGGGCCUGGCCGUAUUUUGGAGCCUGCCUGAUAUGCGUAAGCAAAUCCGCUCGUUGGAAAAAGUCUACCACGCGGACCCAAUCGACCGGCCACGUGUGCCCCUCCUUCGGCUCUGCGCACCCCGCCUCGCGCACACGCGAAUCCACCCACCCUCCGCCCCUCCUCUAUAAAGAUACCUCCACCAUGACCACCCCCUUCGUCUCCGUCUCUCUCCUCCGCCUCCGCUCCCCUUCUCUCCCCUCCCUCCUCGCCUUCGCUUGGGUCACCUUGGAUCCGAGCCCAAACCCUAACCCCCCAACGGUCCCCUCCAUCCCGACCCAACCAAACCCUAAACCCGCUGCCCCUCCUCGAUUUCCCGCCUAAUCCUGCCCCCACCAUCGCGCAUUCGCGUCGAAUUCGAACCUGGCAUUCGGAGCUCGAAUUUGAAUUCGAGCUCGAAUCACCACCCGCCUGGAGCGGGAGCGAGCUGCGGGAGCUCGAAUUCGAUGCGGUGCUGAGCGUGGGCCAAUCGAUUCGGGCCGGGCGGUGGCGCGGCCGGCGGGAUCUGAACCCUAGCGGCCGGCCGGAUCUGAGAGACCGCGCCGGCGAGGUGCUCGGCGGUAUGAGUGGUUGGGAAGGGCGCAGAGGAGAAGCGGAGAUAUGAGCGGAGGCGGUGGGAGCGGCACCGGGGACGAGUUCGGGCGGGCGGUCGCGCGGGCCGCGGUCGCGCAGGCGCUGGAGGCGGCCGGGUUCGACUGCGCGCACCGCUCGGCGGUGGACGCGGUCGUCGACGUCCUUCUGCGCUACAUCACCCACCUCGGCCGGUCCGCGGCCUUCAACGCCAACCUCGCCGGCCGCGCGCUCGCCAACGAACUCGACAUCAUCCAGGCGCUCGAGGAGGUUGGCGCCGACACGGACGGGUUCGCGGGCGCGUCCGCCACGGGCCGCUGCCUCGCUGGCUCCGGCGUCGUCAGGGACCUCAUGGCGUUCGUCGACACCAAGGCUGAGGUGCCGUUCGUGCGGCCGCUGCCCAGGUUCCCCGUGCCGCGCGUGCAGCAGCAGCCCUCCGCCAGCUUCGCGGUGGCUGGGAAGGAGACCGGGAUGAGGCACGUGCCUGAGUGGCUCCCGGUGUUCCCGGAUCCGCACACCUAUGUGAGGACGGAGGCGUGGGUUGAGCCGCCCGCGACCAAGGAAAGGGUGGACAAGGUGGAGCAGGUGCGGCAACGGAGGAAGGCUGAGAAGUCCCUGCUCAGCUUGCAGCAAAGGCUAGCACAGGCUGGUGCUGAAGGUUUUCAUCCAGCAGCUGCGCUUGCACAGGAUAGCACGGAGAAGGGUAAGGAGAUACAGGCAGCUGGGACCAAGAGAAAUCCAUUUCUUGAGCCAGCAUUGCCGCCUGGGGAGAAGGAUGUAUCUGAGGUUGACAUGCCUCCUGAAAAGAAGAAACUCUCUGUCCUUGAGGCAUUUGCGCCAGCUAUUCAAGCUACAACCAUCAGGGAGAUUGAUGCUGGGACAGGGUUGGAUCAAAACCAAAGGAGCAUUGUUCCAAAAGAGAGGGUGCCAGUACACCUCAAGAUUGGAUUUGGUAAUAAGCCAGUAUCAGCUGUUCUGAAUUCAAGAGCCUUGGACCUGAGGGAUGAUCCUUCCUUCUUGAAGGAGGAAGCAAAGGAUGACAAGAAGCGGAGAGCAGGCAUGAUAUUAAGAGCAUCAAUGGAGAACCCACAGGAACUUCCUCAACUCUGAAGUGGUUUAUGGAGGAACUGCGGUGCCCAGAAUGGAACUGCAUCAUGGUGUGAUUGGGUUUAUUGAAGCUGUGGAUAUUCCAGAUUUACGGUGGAACUUCAAUUUCCAGAAUCUUGAGGUACGUUGUAACAUGUAACUUGUUGCAAGUCAUUGGUCCUGGCUGUCAAUUGCUCUCGAGGUCCAUCAUUGAAUGCUAUUGGAUUCAUAUUGAUUUGUAAUCUUCAUUGUUAUAAAUUUGAGUGUAGGUAUCAGAAUGGCGAAACUUUAGCUAGGCAGUGCAUUGGUGUAUAUAUGUUUUUCUCAUAUAGGAAAAUGAUCCAGAGAUCUAUUAAAGCAUGUAUGCAUCAUUAAAAAUACACACUUUGGCUCUUGUAUGACCGAAAUCUUGGGAGUUCGUUGUGUUAAAGUUACCUUUCAGUAGGCUUGCUCUGCACAGUAACUUUAACAGUUGAAUUAUUAAAGUUUUGAGCUAUACUGAUAUGUGUUUUGGUGCCCUGAUGCUUUCCAUUUAGGAGAAAGUACAGAUUGUAUGGCAUGCACUCACCAUUCCAUAUAUGCAAUGGACAGUAAGGAUUAUAUGCUAAUCUUGUGCCAUGAUUUCUAGAUGAAAUUUAAUCUGUGUGUACACAAUAAGGGGACAAUGGUUAACUGACUAAUUUGAAAGUAGGCUAUCAAUAGAAAAAAGGAGUUAUGUUAGUUUGGAUGUAUCAGUAAUGAUGUUUUGAUGAAGUGGCCAUCAAGUCACUGUCCUGCACCCUCCAACCUAUUGCCUUAGAUGCUGCAGAUAUGGCAAUUCGACCAGAAUUUUUCAUGUAAAGUAGCACACAAAAGAGGAUAUUUCUUGCCUAUGUGUGUAACUAAUUUCUACUUCUGUUCCUGGCAUAUUGUUUUUUUAAAUAUAUUUCUAUUAUGUUCCCUCCACAUUAUCCAUUUUAGCCCUGUUUAGUGUUUACACUUGCAGCCAAGAAACUCAAAAGGGCAUUAAGGUUUGAUUUGGUGCUGUGGUAGAUAUCAUAAUUGGUGGAAAUAGCUUAGAGAUAUUUUAUUCUUUUGUUGGUGUUUUUUAAUUGAUAGCCUCCUUUCAACUAGUCAGUUAAGACAUGAAAGAGCAAUAUUCUUUAUUAUGUUUUAAUGCCUACUAAGUGGUUAGACAAUAGCUGUUAUUUUUGUGCUGCCAUUGGUAGUUAAUAUUUAGAUUGCCUUAAUGUGGUGUAUCACUUUCCAAUCAUUUAGUUACACUGUGGUAUGCACUUCCAUGUUCAUCCUUUCAUGUAUGUGAAUAUUACAAAUUUCCAUGAAAGCAAGGUAAUAUAGAUAAUAUGUUAUUAGUCCUUAAAGUGGAUCUCUGUGAAGUUCUUGUAUUGGUAACUGGCAACUAGGUGGGUGCACGGUCAAAGCAGAUAUAGUACACCUGGCCCAAUAUUCAAGUAGUUCUACACGCAGCAGUUAAAAAGGUCCAAAGCAGAGUAUUCACAUUCACAACAAAUAGUAAUAAUUAGCCAUGGUAAAUCAAUCCACCAUCCAACUUUCAUUACAUUUUUCAUGGGUUUGGAGAACAAAUAUUACACAGUACAGAAUGGAUCUGCAUUCUAGUAGGAACUGCGUAUUCCUUUAUGACAUCCUGCUUCGUAGCAUGGUGGUAAAUUAGCAUGUCAAAUAAAUUAUUAUUCUGACUUGAGCUUUGGUGAUUUCUGUAGGCCAUGUGUCCGUGAUACAACCUUCCUCCUAUCUGAACAACAUCAGAAUCAUUCUUAGAACCUUGCUAACCUGCACCCAUGCUUGCCCGCCUCAAGAUAUCAUUUUCCUGGAAUCACCAGGGCACUGGUAAUUCUGCAGCGCUGUAACUGAAGUUCCACCAUUUCACCCCAUUCAACUUGGUUCUGCUGGUAUUUCACCGCUAAGGCGUUAACUGUAAGUGAGCCGCUUCAUACGGAGCUGAUUUGGGAGGCUGUGUUUCCUCUCCCCAGACAUGGCAUCCAAAAGAAUGAAGCUCCCGAGUUUACUUUUUGUAGCUGUAUUCCCUGGUAGAAUUGGAGAGAGAUGUUUGUACAAAAGCUAACCUGAUUCUCCUGACCAAGACUCGUCUCAGACAGGAUUGAUGUACCUAGUGGGUUACUCUCGAGAGCCAGCUUCUUUAUGCAACAUGCUGGCCUAAUAGUGCAGUAAGGUCGCCUGCGAUUGGGAUGCUUUGCAAAGAUCUGAUGAUGGACUCAAUUCAUGAGGAUCAAUUGAAGAUCUGUCCUCAGUGAGUUCAUGAUCCUGAGAGAGAGCUGAUGUAGUGCUUUGCAGAGCGAUUAGUGCCCCUUUCUGGGACUGUAAUAACAAUGUGCAAUAUGAUUCUUUCGGCUUAUUUUUCCUGUCUAACCUGAGCUUCCCCGAUUGAACGUGUGAAGAUUUUAAAAGGCAUCAUGUUGGAUGGAGCUUGUGCAUUUUGUGAUUAGAGCCUGUGCAUGUCUGUGGCUGUUUGUGAAUGCUGUAAAAGGCAGUAUGCUUGAGCUCACUCCUCCGUAUACGCUGCUAGAAGGCGAUCUACUUUUACGGUUAAAAAGGCCCAAACUGGACAGGUGGCCCCGUUAUUCAUUACCGCGACAUAUCUCCAGCCCGUUUUCGUUUCAUCAUUUUUCUUUAACCACUUUGGGCUCUGGGUUCAUGGGAGAAUUCCCUUACUAGGCCGAAGCACAUUCGAGAAGCUGUUUAUUUUGGGGCCCCAAUAGGCCAAUAGGUUCCUUCUCCAUAACCGAGUUAAAACUUUGAUCAAUUUCAAAUUUUCAAUUGAGCUUUCGAAGAUGGACGCACGUUGCAAAGUGAUUUCAAAACACUGCAAUGCUGUACGUUUCAUGCACGUCAAUACCUUGUGCACUCAGCUAGUGCCCAGUAUUAGUACUCCUAAUUUUUCGUGGCUGUACGGAAUGGGACUGAAGAGCUAUGCAUGUAUACUGACGUACCGUGGAAUUUAUGCGCGCGAUUGGAGAUUGUGCACUCAGCAGCACAAAUCUGACACACGCAAGAUGUGGUGCCAAAGACACUGGCCUAACUGCUGGUACAUGAUUCCUUGAUCCUUGGCAGGCCAGGACAAGGCUAUGUCACAUGGCCAUAACUAGGAAUCACAAACAACCCCCUAAUUCAGCACAAGAUGAGCUCAAUCAUAGCACUCUGCAGUCUGCACGCUGCACAAGUGAAGCAGGCAUGACUGGCUGCAGCUGAUCACUCUGCAGUCUGCACAAGCCAAAGUUUAUGGUACCCUCGAAACCCUGCCUCGUCUAAUGUUUAUUCUUCUUUUUAUGAGAGUCAAAGUCAGAGACGUUGACAAGUCAACGGGAAUCUCCCUGCGUUUAGUAUGUUUUCCCGUUGCGUGCUACUGGACCGGCCGGGCCACCGGGGUGAUGCUUGUGCGUUGUCUUGUGUCAACCUCAUCCGAUUUUUGGAAGCAACCUCACCCGUUGUUUCACUUGUACCUAUGGCUCCAGCUCUAAGAAUUUACACAGCUAGAGAUGGCCGGCUUUAAGAAUUUCUAGAGCCGGAGAUUUUACCAAAUAUAUAUUCCCUAAGUUGUGUUCAUAUGCGCAAUGCACAAGUGACUGAGUGAGUGAGUGACUAAACGAGGCGUAGCGUAAUUUGCUGAUCAGAUAACUACGGUUACGGUAGUAUACUAUACAUAUAAACAGUACUAGUUUGAUACUCUGCAGCUUAUACUAUACUAGUAUUAUCCAACUUUGAACGACCAGAGCGGGUUUAUCGGCAAGGAUUACGUUGAAAAGGAGUUCAAUUCUCGCUACCAAUCGCAUCAUCAGACUCUAGACUCGACCUGAUGCAUAAUAAAAACCAUCAUCUCGUACGCACAGCACAAGUUCACCCGCCCCGGCCUUGCUACGUGUAUACGCACUCAUUCAGUUUAAAAUCUGCCAAAUCUGAAUUAAAGAAUGAGACGAAUAAGUCCCUGCAUGCAGCGCCGAAGGAUCCCCAGGGCACGCCGCAGGUCAAGAAAAAAAGAAGAAGAGGGAAACAAGAUCCACACAUGACUGAGUCAACGAUAAGACACCGUUGAAAGAAAUGAGCAGUACGGAUGAACACGAUCGAUCCAGGAGCUAGGAACAACAAAAAAGCAUGCAUCAUCAUUGGACACAUACGAAGUUCAUUCUUCAGUUCUGAAUAAUUCGGCCGAGUACAGCAACGACCGAUACUGCAGCGGCCACUGCUGCCGUGCCGACAUUCUUACGAGGCACGCGCCCGCGCUGGCCGCCAUGGCCAAUCAACUUGCGCUAGCCAUCGACCAGGACAACUAGGAGACGGUUUUGUUGACCGGCCAGGCAAGCCUCUCUCGCUGACUAGCUCAUCACAGCCAGCCAGCCACUCUUCAUCUUGGAGUCUUGUUGCAACUUGCAGCUAAAAGAGCCACAGGCAGGUGUGGGGUGUGGGAUCCAUGGCUGAACCAACCAUCACCAUGCAUUCCAUGUUUGCAUAAAUGGUGGGCCGGUUUUUUGUUCAAGGAAGGAAUGGAAGUGGAUCUCUCACUGUCGUACCACGCUUUACGUGUCCUCGUUUAGACCCGAUCUCUCUGUAUGUUAUCCUUAUACUGACCAUAACUUUUUUAUUGUAUCGUGUACAUAGUGCAUCAUAUGAUAAAGUUGAUUUUUUUUCCGCACGAGAAUAAGCAUUUGUUGCCACUUAAUGCCAAGGAAAUCUCCACGUAUGCAUGCCACGAGCUUUCAAGCGUUGUGUGAAGCCGUUUUUCUUAGAACAAAAAUAAAUAAACGGGGAAAAGAAGGCCGAAUACUCCUUUGAGACAUCUCAAUUUUCGUUGGUUUUCGGUUGCUUGACCAACAAACAUGUUUCGAUUCCGUUAUUUCAACUGCACCAAAUAAAAUGGUCUUUUGAAUUGGUCAAGCAGUUUCGUAAAUUUUUUAGUAGAAGACUACGUUGAACUGAAAAAGGUACACUUGCGAGUUGUCACUUCUUGCCUUAUACGACUAGUGAAAUAGUAAGCGCAAGGCCAUCAUCGGUUAUCCAAUACUUAAUGAGUGCUUUUCUUUUUUAAGAAAAGAUUCGUUAGCAUCUGAACCGCGUACAAAAAUGUGACUCGGUGGUCGGUAAGCAUGGGAAAACUCACCGAAUUGUUGCAGGUUGCAUUAUUGGCUUGAACUUUUCCAAUAACCUAUCUCUUUUCCGUUUAAUGUUUUCUGACUCUGGCGUCAACCAGGAUUGACGAUGGCAUCGCCACAAUAUGAGCUGCUAGCUGUUAAGUCAUUUCAACUUCCAAAAACAAAACAAGAAGAAGAAGAAAGAGGAAAAAGCAAAUUGAGCAACAUAUUUAACCACUAAUUUUUUCGGAUCAACAGGUAAGAGGAUAUUUAUUUGACCGUUAAUCAUGUGGUUAAACGUUGACCUGGUUCAAAAUUGUUUUUCUCUCCAAUGCGGCUUCACCAAAAUCUUUCGGCAACUUUUGGGAUCAGUUGGGCAUUUGCCAGUGCAACUGACUCAAUUAACAAAUAUUUAGUCCAUUAGCAACUUUUGGGAUCACAUUGUGCGUCUCCUUUACCAGAUUGCGUUGCAUGGAUGAGAUGUGACUCUCUUAACAACAAUGUAUUCAGAUGCUUGAUGUUAGUCCUGUACAACUUACUCCCUCGGUUUCAAAUAUUACAGGUCCUUUUGGCACUUCCAAAUAUAUAGUUUUUCUAUGUAGCUUGACAUACUGUAUAUCUAGGUGCAUAAUAAAAACUAUGAACCUAAAAAUUAAAACAACUAUAAUUUGGAACAGAAAGAGUAAUUGUGAUAGGUCCAACAGGUGGACAGAAUAUAUAGGUCUGCCCGGGACGCAUUAUUCUUGUAAUUGGAAAAAAAAGAUAGGCGUGGCCAGGAGAAGCGUUGCCAAAUAUCUCAAUCACAUUGAGAGUGAUAUAAGCCCCACAGAGCGUCUGUCAUCAGUGAAAGAGCACCAAUCACUCACUCACUCAUUCCCUUCUUAUCUACUGUGUUCAUCAGCUGAAGACUUUGAACAGUGAUCAAGAGCGAACCUUGGCAAUUCAACCAAGGAAGUAACCAUAUCAAAAACGAAAUAAUUGGAUCUUUCGCGGUUAAUGAACACACUUUAUCUUACAAACAAGAAAAAAAAA